GACGAACGCUGGCGGCGUGCUUAACACAUGCAAGUCGAGCGAGGCCCCUCCUUUGGGAGGGUGUCCUAGCGGCGAACGGGUGAGUAACACGUGGGCAACCUGCCCCCGGCUCUGGGAUAACUCCAAGAAAUUGGGGCUAAUACCGGAUAUGACCGCUGACCGCAUGGUCUGGUGGUGGAAAGAUUUAUCGGCUGGGGAUGGGCCCGCGGCCUAUCAGCUUGUUGGUGGGGUAGUGGCCUACCAAGGCGACGACGGGUAGCCGGCCUGAGAGGGUAACCGGCCACACUGGGACUGAGACACGGCCCAGACUCCUACGGGAGGCAGCAGUGGGGAAUAUUGCGCAAUGGGCGGAAGCCUGACGCAGCGACGCCGCGUGGGGGAUGACGGCCUUCGGGUUGUAAACCUCUUUCAGCAGGGACGAAGCGAAAGUGACGGUACCUGCAGAAGAAGCACCGGCCAACUACGUGCCAGCCGCCGCGGUAA
rnacentral:rRNA from 1 species